rnacentral:lncRNA from 1 species
AAAAUUGAAAAAAAAAAAAUGAAAAUCAAAAGCCAAAAAUAUGCAUUUAAAUUUUUGUGCUUAAAAUUGUGAAUAAACAACAAUUCUCUAGGCUCUCAUGCUCCGAUCAAGUUUUUGAUGUGCAUUGUAACAAGUGGAUACAUUAAGAUAGUCCUUCUAACUCCAAGUCUUUAGCCUACUAUCCAAAAAUAUCCCACCUUUACCCAAGCCCCGUUAUAACCUUAAAGACCUCAAAAAGUGUGUGUACUAUUGCAUUGUAAUUUCUGUAUAGAACUUGUUCAAGCCUAUGGUAGAAUGAU